rnacentral:lncRNA from 14 species
GUUUCUUUCCUUCUGCAUGUGCUAAUUUUCUUGAUUAAUUUGGAGAACAUCUGCAUAUAACGCUGAGUGCUUUUCACUGGCAAAGCCUCCCAACUUCAUGUAGGACUCAGAGACUUCGCCUUCUCCACAGUCUGGAAUCCUACCUAAUUGAAAUGCCAAACCUGCAAAGGUGCCAAAGCCUGAGUGUGUAAUUAUGCCAUUUUCUCUUGGUCUUUCAGAGUUUUCCUGCGGGCGAUUAAUCAGUAUGCAGAUAUGCUGAACAAGAAAUUUCUGGAUCAAGCCAACUUUGAGCUGCAGCUGUGGAACAAUUACUUUCACCUGGCCGUGGCUUUCCUCACUCAAGAGUCCCUGCAACUGGAGAAUUUUUCAAGUGCUAAGAGAGCCAAAAUCCUUAACAAGUAUGGAGACAUGAGGAGGCAGAUUGGCUUUGAGAUCAGAGACAUGUGGUACAACUUGGGUCAACACAAGAUAAAAUUCAUCCCAGAAAUGGUUGGCCCUAUAUUGGAAAUGACAUUGAUUCCUGAGACAGAACUUCGAAAAGCCACCCUUCCCAUCUUCUUCGACAUGAUGCAGUGUGAAUUCCACUCCACCCGGAGCUUCCAAAUGUUUGAAAAUGAGAUCAUCACUAAGCUGGAUCAUGAAGUGGAAGGAGGCAGAGGAGACGAGCAAUACAAAGUGUUAUUUGAUAAAAUCCUCCUGGAGCACUGCAGGAAGCAUAAAUACCUGGCCAAGACAGGAGAAACUUUUGUGAAGCUCGUGGUGCGGUUGAUGGAGAGACUCCUGGACUACAGGACCAUCAUGCACGACGAAAACAAAGACAAUCGUAUGAGCUGCACAGUCAACGUGCUGAAUUUCUACAAAGAGAUUGAAAGAGAAGAGAUGUAUAUAAGGUACUUGUAUAAGCUCUGCGACCUGCACAAAGAGUGUGACAACUACACAGAGGCGGCUUACACCUUGCUUCUGCAUGCGAAGCUUCUAAAGUGGUCAGAGGAUGCGUGUGCAGCUCACCUCAUUCAGCGGGACGGGUUCCAGGCGACAACACAGGGACAGCUGAAAGAACAGCUCUACCAAGAAAUCAUCCACUAUUUUGACAAAGGCAAGGUAAAGACACACACUGUCCCUUGGUCUCUCUCUCUCCCAGGUCCCGCUGCAACACUAAAAGCACGAUUCUUAACACACGGUGUUUGCAGAACCAGACAUGUAUUACACAUUGUGUACGGAAGCAUUUUGUGUAUGUUCCUCCGGCCUGCAAUUAUAAGAAAACUUUUUAUUUGAAAAAAAAUCAAUAGCUCUUUCAGGUGCUCUGUGGAUAGUAAGGCCUGAAGAUAUCUGACUGUUUUGAUAGCUCUUACUUGAGGAACCGGGUCUGGAAGAGCAGCUUGGAUAUGUCUGUGCGCUUGGAGCUGGUAUAUGCCUUUGGCGUCUACCAUUUUCCUGUUGUCACUGAAAAAUUAACCCUGUGACGAGACGGGCUUUGUUCCACCUUGGCAGUUUGUAGAUUAAUUGGCUUAAACAAAAUGAUCUAUUCAGUUGAUUUUUUUCUAAGGGAAAGCUGCCGUCAUUUUAAUCAACUGUCUUACACUUCGUCACUGUCCUUGUGAGUUGAUGUGUAGUCACUGUAAAAACUAGCCACUCUAGCUGAAGAAAAUUCGUAAACCCCAGGUGACUUUCAAGCUCCUUCUGGAGUUCCACUGAAUUUUUUAAUUGUGUCAAGGAUGUUCUAUGUCACUCCAGCGAGAUCUCAAAGGGAGCUGGUGUUUUAUUUCCUACUAUGGCUAUUGGGACAGACCACUUUGAACAGCAGAAGCAUCAGCUUUCGAUGCUGAAGCUCUUAGCCUGGAAUCCAGGUCUAGCGGAGCCCAUGCUCUCUCUGGAGGCCUUCCAGGACCACAUGUUCUAUGCAUGUGGCUUAUGGCAGGCAUAGUGGGUAGUUGUUGGUACUCGUUUCCUUGCAAACCCAUCACCCAAUUGUCUGGGUCUUCCCCAUGCUUACCAUGUGCCUGUAUCUAUAAUCCUUCUCCUAUGAGGACACCAGGCACUGGUCUGUCAGGGAGCGCCCCUGCUCCAUAGAGCAAAACUACAUCUACAAUGCCUGUUUCCACAUGAAGCUCUCAGUCACAGAUACCAAGGCUUAGGAUUGCACGUGUCUUUCUGGAAAUGCAUUUCUCCCCACAGCAGCUGUGUUGUCAGAAGGACCUUCCCCCUUGGGUGUUAUUCACAGGAACCAAACCCUAUUAAAAGUAGACUCUCGGCGAGCACAAGCUCAGGAUUCUCACUGUAUCUGAAGUCAUCGUGCAUCUUCUUCUGGUACUGUGUGUGUUUGUUGCUGAGACUUGAACCUAAGCCUCACACGUGCUAAGCAAAUGCUUUGCCACCCAUUCCUUCGGUUAAGCUGUUCAUUUCAAAACACCAUCCCACUAAGUUUCCCAGGCUGACUUUAAAUUUAUGAUCCUCCUUACCUCAGUGUUCUUGACAGCUAGGAUAACAGGCCUAUGCCACCUGUCAUUCUUAAUAUGGGGAAAGUCCAAAUUCUCUAGCCAGGCCAUUUGGAAGGUAGAUUCUUCUUGACCCUGUAGUAGAUGGACAGGAUGUUAAGAUAUGAGGCUCUCACCAUUGGGCUUAUUCAUGCUCCCUUAGCUUGAACAGAAGCCUUUCGUUCCUCUGCAAAUUGCUAGAGAAACAGCAGAUUCAGCCUAAAGCAUGUGGCUUUGUGGUAUGCUGGGAAACCACCACCAGGUGCAGUGGAGCACAGGUAGAGAUCCCAGGCAGGAAGCCUAAGGUAACAAAGGGUCCACCAAGUCUGAGGAGCAUCUGCCUCCGUGGGUAGCCAUACUCAGUCUCUCUGUGAGCAGCCAAGCUCCAAAAGGCCUUAGACACUGCAUUUUCUCUGACUCUGUCUCCCUCUCCUUCUCCUCCACCUUACUCUGUGUCUGCCAUGCUUGUUGGAGUCUUGUUCUGUCUAAAAGCUAUCUAUUGUUCCCUCCACAGCACUUUCUUCUCCAUCUCAGCCUAAGUGUCACCUCUUGCCACCCUUGAGCCACCCUCUGUUUCUUUGGAGUCCUUUCUUUAAUUUGCUACAAGAAGUUUACAUCCACGCUUCUGUAGUGACUCACUGAAGGGGGUGUAAGCACUAGCAACAGAGGCUUACUUGUUGCUUCUCCCAGCAUGCUUAGUGCUACCUGCUGUAUGCUCACUGAGGUUGGCUAGAUGACCAAACAAAUGAAUGCUCGGCAUUUAUCAGCAUUUCCUGCCAGGGGAGUGGCCCGUUUUCAAUAGGAAUGAGACCGAAGACUGCGAGGUUUUUUAAAUGGGGCUUUUGUUUUUUAAAUGAAAGAUAACCUGAUAACUUUUUCUGUGCAAUAGUUAAUCUUAAAAAAGAAUCACAUGUAGGAGCAAAAAUAAAUGCGGUUAGUUUUUAACGUUGGUAACCAACUUCAAUCUGCAGGGACAUUUGGCUAUCAUGAGUGCAAACCAGUGUCACUAGAAAGCUCAUGGCUGAGUCUGUGCAUGUGGAGCCGAGUUUCCCUUAAUGCACAGGGUGUCCCCAGCACAGAGAGCAUCCAGCUCAGAAUGUCCAUAGUGCUGAGGUUGGAAAGCUUGCUGGAAGGAAGGAAGGAAGGAAGGAAGGAAGGAAGGAAGGAAGGAAGGAAGGGGGGAAGGAAGGAAGGAAGGAAGGAAGGAAGGGGGGAAGGAAGGAAGGAAGGAAGGAAGGAAGGGGGGAAGGAAGGAAAGAAGGAAGGGGAAGGAAAGAAGGAAGGGGAAGGAAGGAAGGGGAGGGAAGGAAGGAAGGAAAGAAGGAAGGGGAAGGAAGGAGGGAAGGAAGGAAGGGGAGGGAAGGAAGGAAGGAAAGAAGGGGAAGGAAGGAAGGGGAAGGAAGGAAGGAAGGGGAGGGAAGGAAGGGGAAGGAAGGAAGGGGAAGGAAGGAAGGAGGGAAGGAAGGAGGGAAGGAAGGAAAGAAGGGGAAGGAAGGGAGAGAGGGAGGAAGAAAGAAAGAAAGAAUCCAUGUGACAAAAUAGUAUAGAAAGCCAGUGUAUAAAAGGAAAGCCAGUAGAAGGCCUGUCCUCAGAUGUCCCUAUAUUGUGGAAACAGAAAGAAGACCAUGGUGACGUGAUCCGUUGGCUCCCCCUGAGUCGGAGUGAGCUAGGGAGGGCUGUGUUCCCAGCUGCCAUUCCAGUUGUAUUGAUAAAACAACAAGAUUGGAAAGCCAUUUCAGAGCGCCUGUGACAUUUCCACCAGAAUGUUAAAAAGGAACCAAUCCGCCCAUCCACACAAAUCUACAACACAGGUGCUGGAGAGAACUCCAGAGCAUAGGGCAGGCAAUGCCUGCCGAAUGAGCUGGCAUCAAAGGGUUCCUCUUCAUAUCAGCCAGCAGGAUGUGUUCUAGGAAGCCAUUAUCUUUUAUGUAGCCUGGGAUGGGCCAGAACAUUCUGGAGUUUUGACCUGGAACUCUGGAGAGUUCCAAACCACAGUGGUCCACUUCUACUCAGACUAGUGGCUGUCUCUCUGAACAAGGC